rnacentral:rRNA from 1 species
UACAGAGGAUGCAAGCGUUAUCCGGAAUUAUUGGGCGUAAAGCGUCUGUAGGCGGCUUUUUAAGUCCGCCGUCAAAUCCCAGGGCUCAACUCUGGACAGGCGGUGGAAACUACCAAGCUGGAGUACGGUAGGGGCAGAGGGAAUUUCCGGUGGAGCGGUGAAAUGCGUAGAGAUCGGGAAGAACACCAACGGCGAAAGCACUCUGCUGGGCCGACACUGACGCUGAGAGACGAAAGCUAGGGGAGCGAAUGGG